GCAAGUCGAGCGAUUGCCUUCGGGUGAUAGUGGCGCACGGGUGCGUAACGCGUGGGAAUCUGCCCUUAGGUUCGGAAUAACAGCUGGAAACGGCUGCUAAUACCGGAUGAUAUCGCGAGAUCAAAGAUUUAUCGCCUGAGGAUGAGCCCGCGUUGGAUUAGGUAGUUGGUGGGGUAAAGGCCUACCAAGCCGACGAUCCAUAGCUGGUCUGAGAGGAUGAUCAGCCACACUGGGACUGAGACACGGCCCAGACUCCUACGGGAGGCAGCAGUGGGGAAUAUUGGACAAUGGGCGCAAGCCUGAUCCAGCAAUGCCGCGUGAGUGAUGAAGGCCCUAGGGUUGUAAAGCUCUUUUACCCGGGAAGAUAAUGACUGUACCGGGAGAAUAAGCCCCGGCUAACUCCGUGCCAGCAGCCGCGGUAAUACGGAGGGGGCUAGCGUUGUUCGGAAUUACUGGGCGUAAAGCGCACGUAGGCGGCUUUGUAAGUCAGAGGUGAAAGCCUGGAGCUCAACUCCAGAACUGCCUUUGAGACUGCAUCGCUUGAAUCCAGGAGAGGUCAGUGGAAUUCCGAGUGUAGAGGUGAAAUUCGUAGAUAUUCGGAAGAACACCAGUGGCGAAGGCGGCUGA
rnacentral:rRNA from 1 species